GGAGUGGUGGCCUAGUGGUUAGAGAGCAAGGCAUUUGUGUCCUGGAGAGGCAACAAGUACGCUGGUUCGAAUACCACAGCCUGCCCCU